UCAUAACAAAUUUCAAUAAAAACGAUAUAUCUUAAAUUUCAGAUGACUAAACUAUUGGAGUGGCUCUUAUUUGCUACUUUAUUCUUUAGCAUAUGGAUCACUGCAAUUACAGAAAGCAUUAAUUUGUCUUUCAUUAUAGAAUUAAGAGGAAUCAUCCUUGUUCUUCCAUUCAUUGUUUUAUUGUUAUUUGGACUGUAUUCAGCUAUUGUCAUUUUAUAUAGAGUUUUCACGUUCAAUAAUUGUGAAAGUGCUGCUGUAGAAUUACAAGAAGAAAUAGAGGAAGCUAAGAGAGACCUCCAAAGCAAAGGUGUCGUUCUAAAGAGCAAAUGAAUCUGUAUGUUCCUAUAUAAUUCAAGCUGUAUAUUGCGACAUGACGAAUUCAUUUAUGUGGAUUAUAUUGAUCGGAUCUGACACCGAAUCCAGGUCCCGGAGGUGGUGAUGUUAAUGACGUCAAUCCGCCAGCCGGGUCUGCUGCGAAUCUAGG